GGUCCCAUCGUCUAGUGGUUAGGACAUCAGGUUUUCAUCCUGAAAAGAGGGGUUCGAUUCCCCUUGGGACUACCA
rnacentral:tRNA from 1 species